rnacentral:tRNA from 1 species
GUCAGAAUAGUUUAUUUAAAAUUUCUAUUUUACACGUAGAAGAACUCUACUUGGAGCUCUGUUA